ACACUGAUGCCCACAUCCUGAGAGAAAGUUGGUAGAAUGUGAGUCUUCUAAGAGGAAGAAAAACAAAAAACUGGAAAGAUUCUCUUUCUGCAGAUUGUCUAUAUUACUGCUCAGAACCACCAAAAUCCACAAAACAAUGAGGCUGUUGUGAAAUCACAUGAGGGUUGUGUGAUGGUUGGAUUCAUGUGUCAACUUGGCCAGGUUAUGUCACCCAGGUGUCUGCUUUCAAUACUUAGUGCUUGGACUGCCUGAGGGUGAAAAACUGGAGGAAGACUGUUGGUGGAACUAUUGACAAUGCAACCGCUGGAAUCAGUGACCUUCAGUGAUGUAGCUAUGAACUUUUCCAGGGAAGAGUGGGCCUUGCUGGACACAACCCAGAGAAAGCUGUUCAGAGAUGUUAUGCUGGAGAAUAUCAAUCAUCUGGUGACUGUGGG